UACAGAGGGUGCGAGCGUUAAUCGGAAUUACUGGGCGUAAAGCGUACGUAGGUGGUUGGAUAAGUCAGGUGUGAAAUCCCCAAGCUUAACUUGGGAAUUGCGUUUGAUACUGUCUGACUUGAGUUUGGUAGAGGGAGGUGAAAUUCCAGGUGUAGCGGUGAAAUGCGUAGAGAUCUGGAGGAACACCAGUGGCGAAGGCGGCCUCCUGGACUGAAACUGACACUGAGGUACGAAAGCGUGGGGAGCAAACAGG
rnacentral:rRNA from 1 species